AACGCAAAUUGCGCUUCUGGGUAACCCUGGAAGCACUCUUCGUUGAGUAUCGGUUCUAUCUACUAUCAGCGGCGUGCUUGCAUGUGCGGCUGGAAAGUGAGUCUCGCGCUUUAUUGUGCGUUUCUUUAAAGAUAUAUUAGUGCCUGGAUCCAAUCCAAUUUAAGGAGCUCUCCUUUAAGGAGCAGUUCACUUGGCGCAUCAUGGUGGAUAAGAUCACUUGUAAAAGUGAACUCCAAAGCCUUGCUGUGUUAAUGCGAACUGUUCUGGCGAGUUCUGGGAUGGGAAUCAGUUUUAUCUAAACGAACCUUCUAGAAAUAGAUCUCAACUGAAGUGAGAGUACCCGCUGAAUUUAA
rnacentral:misc_RNA from 1 species